rnacentral:lncRNA from 1 species
UUUUUUUUAAGUUAGAAAAUUAAGUUAUAUUUUUAUGAUAGAUUUUUAAGUAUGAUUGUUAAGUUAGAAAAUUAAGUUAUAUUUUUAAGUUAGAUUUUUUAGUUAGAUUGUUAAGUUAGAUUUUUAAGUUAUAUUUUUAAGUUAGAUUUUUAAGUUAGAUUUUUUUAAGUUAGAUUUUUGUAUAUGUGUCCCCUCCGCCGUCCCGCCGCCGUGACCGCCGCCGUCACAACCUAGUAGGCACCGCCCGUGGUUCCGGGGAACCGUCCCCGCCUACGCCGUACCGCCGCCCUGACCGCCGCCGUCACAACCUAGGCACUGCCCGUGGUUCCAGGGAACCGUCCUCGCCUCCGCCGCCCUGACCGCCGCC